GGACAGAUGACCGAGCGGCUGAAGGUGCAGCACUGGAAAUGCUGUGUACGCCUUGUGCGUACCGUGGGUUCGAAUCCCACUCUGUCCG
rnacentral:tRNA from 1 species